rnacentral:tRNA from 1 species
GCCCGGAUGGUGAAAUUGGUAGACACGCUAGGUUCAGGGUCUAGUGGCCUUACGGCUGUGGAGGUUCGAGUCCUCUUCCGGGCA